AGGGAUAGAUGAGUGAAAGAUGUCGGUAAGAUGAGCAAUUCAACUUUUAUAUACAUUCAACCAAGCUGAUUAUAAAAGAUACAGUUGCAAAAAAAUGCUCUGUUUCUUGAGAAACAGAAGCAACAUGCAUUUAACACUUAUAUUGCUCUUCAAGUUAAGAUGGCAAAAUAUAUGUCAUGCAAGCCAGACACGUGUUUUAACAGUUAAACAAAAAAGCUUAAAAAGUGUGUUGUUCUUGUUUCAUAAGCCAAUCUUUCAAGCACUAAUGUAUGGAUUAAUGUAAAAUAUCUAAGAUCCUAUUUGUUUUUUUUUUACUGAUGCUUCAACAUCAUCCACCCGAUUCAUAUCACAUCCAUAGAUACAUGAGAACGCUUAUUCCCACCACCACUGCAUUGUUACUUUAAUAAAUGGAUCCUUUUCGAUAAUCUCAGGUCAUCGGAUCUCAGUACAGAAAAGGGCCAAAUAUUUUUUAGGUUCAAAACAAAUGCAAAUGCCAUUACAAUAGCACUAACCCUUCUUAAUUUUCGACACCGCAAUCCUCCUAACUCAACUUAAUAAGUAACAGUCUAAUUCUUUCUUAGCCAAAACUAAGCCGAAAAUUGUCAAUCCCAUAACCGACAUAGAAUAAAGAUGAAUUCAAAACUCUAAAUAAAUGUAAGUUCUCAUAUAUAAAUUCUGUCUCCAAGGUAAUUUUCUUACUCUGAAAACUUUGAUCCACAAAACCAAAUUACAUUUUUCAGCAAAAAAGACCACUUAAACAAACCAAAUACAAUAUACAAACACAUCUAUUCAAUUUAGCUUGAUUUACAUCAUCAAAAGUUCAUUCAAACAACUAAAAGGGCACAAAUAAAAAAAUUGAAAAACCAACCUUUUUCAAAUAGCAACUGUUUCCCAAUUCUUAGAACAAAAUGCUAUCAUCUUUUGAACCAUACAACUUUCAUACAAUCAUAAAUCAUCAAACCCCUUCAUACCAUCAAGUUUGUACAAAAAUAUAAAUAUUAAAAACCAAAUCCCAAACUUAAAAGCCAAAAUUAAAAUUAGUAAAUAAAUUGGGAAUGUUUUGACGAUGGAUGAUUACGUUAUUAGGAGCGUCAUAAUUAGAUGAAAUAUGUGUGGUCUGCUCUGAUUGACUAAAAAAAGAGAAUACCAUUGGGGAUGGAAGGAGGGGCACACUGACUGGACCCAAUAGAAUUGCAAAAAUGUAUUCACAAUUCGCAAAAGAAAGAACUCACUUGCUUAACAGGCUCAAGCACACAAAAUUUUCCUGCAACUCUUUUGCCUGAAAAAUUAAGAACUCAAAUCAUGAGUAUAGGAUUGAGUAACUCCAAGAAAAAAGAACGCUGGAAUACAUAAAAACACGGCUAA
rnacentral:lncRNA from 1 species